UACGUAUGGGGCUAGCGUUGUCCGGAUUUAUUGGGCGUAAAGAGCGUGUAGGCGGCCUGGUAGGUCUGCUGUGAAAACUCGAGGCUCAACCUCGAGAUGUCGGCGGAAACCAUCUGGCUAGAGUCCGGAAGAGGAGAGUGGAAUUCCUGGUGUAGCGGUGAAAUGCGCAGAUAUCAGGAAGAACACCUAUGGCGAAGGCAGCUCUCUGGGACGGUACUGACGCUGAGACGCGAAAGCGUGGGGAGCGAACAGG
rnacentral:rRNA from 1 species